rnacentral:rRNA from 1 species
AAUACGUUCCCGGGCCUUGUACACACCGCCCGUCACACCACGAAAGUCGGCAAUACCCGAAGCCGGUGGCCUAACCCGUAAGGGAGGGAACCGUCGAAGGUAGGGUUGAUGAUUGGGGUGAAGUCGUAACAAGGUACCC